AGCUUUGCACAGUGACAGUAUUAGUGCCAGUGAGGUCUAUCUGAGGAGCGAUUAUUGCUAAUUGAAAACUUUUCCCAAUACCCUGCCAUGAUGACUUGAAAUAUAGAAUCAUUGGCAAUUGUUGACAGUCUCUACGGAGA
ensembl:snRNA U4 U4 spliceosomal RNA